rnacentral:rRNA from 1 species
AUUGAACGCUGGCGGGAUGCUUAACACAUGCAAGUCGAACGAGUGGCGGACGGGUGGGUAAUAUAUCGGAACGUGCGCAGUAGAGGGGGAUCAGUAACGGAAAGUGAGGCUAAAUCCGCAUAGUUUUGGAGCGGCCGAUAUCGGUUUAGCGAGUUGGUGGGGUAAAGGCUCACCAAGGCAACGAACCGUAGCUGGUUUGAGAGGAUGAUCAGUCACACUGGGACUGAGACACGGCCCAGACUCCUACGGGAGGCAGCAGUGGGGAAUUUUGGACAAUGGGGGAAAGCCUGAUCCAGCCAUCCCGCGUGUAUGAGAAGGCCUUCGGGUUGUAAAGUACUUUUGGCAGAGAAGCGGUAUCUGCAGAAUAAGCACCGGCUAACUACGUGCCAGCAGCCGCGGUAAUUC